UGGGGAAUAUUGCACAAUGGGCGCAAGCCUGAUGCAGCCAUGCCGCGUGUGUGAAGAAGGCCUUCGGGUUGUAAAGCACUUUCAGCGAGGAGGAAGGUGGUGAGCUUAAUACGCUCAUCAAUUGACGUUACUCGCAGAAGAAGCACCGGCUAACUCCGUGCCAGCAGCCGCGGUAAUACGGAGGGUGCAAGCGUUAAUCGGAAUUACUGGGCGUAAAGCGCACGCAGGCGGUUUGUUAAGUCAGAUGUGAAAUCCCCGGGCUCAACCUGGGAACUGCAUUUGAAACUGGCAAGCUAGAGUCUCGUAGAGGGGGGUAGAAUUCCAGGUGUAGCGGUGAAAUGCGUAGAGAUCUGGAGGAAUACCGGUGGCGAAGGCGGCCCCCUGGACGAAGACUGACGCUCAGGUGCGAAAGCGUGGGGAGCAAACAGGAUUANAUACCCUGGUAGUCCACGCUGUAAACGAUGUCGAUUUGGAGGUUGUGCCCUUGAGGCGUGGCUUCCGGAGCUAACGCGUUAAAUCGACCGCCUGGGGAGUACGGCCGCAAGGUUA
rnacentral:rRNA from 1 species